AUGUCUUUUUGGAAAUAAUAUAAAGUCUAAUCUGCCCACUGAUAUAAUAUUGAAGGGCUGCAGUAUAUUGACUGUACAAAGGUAGCAUAAUCAUUAGUCAUUUAAUUGAUGACUUGAAUGAAGGAUUUGAUGAGAUAUAAACUGUCUCUUAAUUAAUUGUAGAAUUUAAUUUUUUUAUUAAAAAGUUAAAAUAGUUUAAAAAGACGAGAAGACCCUAUAGAGUUUAAUAAAUAGUUUAAUUAAGAUUAUUUGGAAAUUUAAACUUAAAAUUAAUUUAUUUAUUUUAUUGGGGUGAUAGAAAAAUAUAUUAAACUUUUUUUUUAAAAAAAACAUUUAUAAGUGAUUAAAUGAUCCAAUAAUAUUGAUUAUAAGAAAAAAUUACCUUAGGGAUAACAGCGUAAUUUUUUUUUUUAGUUCGAAUAAGAAAAAGAGUUUGCGACCUCGAUGUUGGAUUAAGAUAAAAUUUAAAUGUAGAAGUU
rnacentral:rRNA from 1 species